GCCUGGGUGGCUCAGUCGGUUGAGUUUCUGACUUCGGCUCAGGUCAUGAUCUCACGGCUUGUGAGUUCAAGCCCCACAUCGGGCU
rfam:Felis catus isolate Cinnamon breed Abyssinian chromosome B2, whole genome shotgun sequence.